GGGCCUUCUCUUCCCGGUUCUUCCUGGAAUUGGGAAAAGCUGGGUUGAGAGGGCG
rnacentral:pre_miRNA from 13 species